ACAAGCACCUGUCCUAUCGAUCCCCUCGAGGAGAAGCCAUCGCCCCCAUCUCCCACUCCGCCGCCGUCGCCCCACGCCUUCCCCUAUCUCCCUCUCAGCCACCUCCACCACCCCCACGCUUCUCCCCAUCGCCGGAUCCGCUAUGAGAUUACCAAGGUUAGGCGGUAGAGCUCCACGCCCGCGACGCGCUCGUGCUCGUCAAGGAAGGGGCUCCCGAUCGAAUCUGCACUCAUGCGGCUUGUGUGCCAUGGCCGCCAUGGCAUCCAUGGCCGACAAUAGGGGACCCUAGGCCUCGGCCAUGGCCACCUUCUCUGGACACGGGGUCGCCACAUCCGACGCUGCCAGUGCCUCAUGGACCGCCAUCAGGAGCUCCAGGUCCGCCGCUAUCGAACUCUACGGCCAUGGUCACCACGUCCAUAUUCGAUCAUCUGAUCUGAUCUGAUCCUAAGUUCCCAAGUCAUGAUGGAAUGUACACGUACGUGGAUCCAAGUCCGAGUUGGGAGCGACAUUGAUCCGAUGAACGUGCAAGGAAUUUCUGAAUCCAUGACUUCUAUUUGAGCAUAUAUGUUCGUUGGUUAUUCAAUUCAAUUGUUCGUACAACAGCAAAAAAAAUUAGCACGAAUUCCAGUAGUUGUGUUUGCUUCUUUUGAAGGUGGAUCUUCGUUUCUUUCUAAUAGUUGUGUUGCGCGAAUUUCCAAUUAUCUGAGUAUAUGUCCUAUAGUUUCCUUUAAAGAAGAAGAAGAACAUGAGGUUGGUACUGCAUCUGUCCUAGCACGAGGAACUUUGCUACAGUCUUUGUGGACAGGUUGACGACAGGAGCUGAAGUACGUUUGAACAAACGUUUUCUUUCAGUUUUCCCAAAUAAAUUAUUCAGAAUUCAGGUUUUCAAGCAAGACUGAUGCAGAACUAGCGGUACAUUUCUAAACAUUGUGCAUUUUUUGUCAUCCGUCGGGCACUUCAUUGAACGAAUUAUGAUCCUUUAGUUUUAUGAACUGGGAAUUCUGGUUUAUUUUAGGCCAAAUAUUCUGUCAACAUGUCAUUUCUUACAUACAUCUCUUUGAUUCUUCCUAGAAAACCAGCCUCCUUAUCUGCAUUUUUGGGCAACUUUAUGGUCUACUUACUAUAUAUACACAUGGUUUUGCCAUCUCGCUAGAAGCUGAUUGGUCAAGCAUGCCACAAAAAAUAUUAGGCGGUACAAUGCAUUUCUCGGAAUUAACAGCCCCAUAACUUGUGACAAUAAACUGAUUGCCUCAUAUGCUAGAAGCUUGCUGCAAUUUACUGCUAGGAAAUCUUAUAAUUGGGCAGCACAAUAACAAAGAGCAAAGUUGCUAAUUCACUUCUAAUGAAUGUGCAUUGGGAGGAAUGAGAGGGCACCACACUUCUCAUCUGCUAUACUUUUUUAGAGACUUUUCAUUUCCUACCCUGCUGGAUGAUGUCUAUAUGAAUAUUCUUCUUCAAAGUCUUCUAACCGUCAAGCUGCAUAUCGGCGCCUUCAAUAUAGAGUUGAUUAUACUGUCUAUUUUACUGCAAGUAGGGAAAGAUGGACUCUGGAUAUCCAUAUUCUCAGGUGUUAAUGUAGUGCUAGGCCAUAUAGUAUAGGACUGAGUUCUUUCACCUCCUAAUCAUGGUAAUUCAAUUCAAUAUUUGGGUACUUUGCUUUUUGCAUAGUUGACGAACAACAUGGCCAUUGCCAUCUAUGAAUAUAUGUACAAAAAGUGGCAAAACCCUUUAGUUUGCUGCAGUUCACCCUCUAAAAUUUCUGCACGCCAAAGUCUCUGUAGCUUUUUAUAGAUAUUUUGCACAUGUACUUUCCCUAUAAAUAAAAGCUGCCAUGUGUACUUGUGGAUAAGCUAAACCGAUGACGUCUUGGAGAAGCUUGGAAUGAUGUACAUAUCUGAUUUCUCAAGUGUGUACUCUGUGGAAAUAAGCUAUAUUGUAUACUUUCACACAUCUAAUGUUUUGUACUUCAAUUCAAGUUGCAUAUAUUUUGUUUGUUUGAUUAGCUAUUCUUAUAAAAAUAAAUGCACAACUAAUGUAUGACUGAUCUUAUGAUUAUAGAUGUGAUUUAAUUUCUGUAGCUUCCUGAUGAAGUUUGCAUCAACUUGAGCUUUCUUUGAGAAGGAUUUGUUUUUCUGGUAAUCCCUAACAAAAUGAUUGAUAGGGAAGCAUGCAUAUAAUUACCAAAGCAUGAAAAAGAAUUGCCACUUCCUUACCUCCUUGUAACAUCAUUGUUACAGGUUUGGAAAGCUUUCGGCCUAGAUGCCAUUUCCUAAUUGCUAGAGCUACAAGGGUACAUAUUUACUUCCUUAUCAUCCUUGAGCCAUGUUAUCUGCGAGGGUACUUAAUUGCUUACGUGUUUGCAAUUUCUAUUUUUGAAUUUUUAUAGCUAAUCCUCUCUUUAAUUUUCAAUCAGCUAUUAAUUUGCUUACACACGAAAGAACGUUUCCUAAUGCGUGGGUGUUUAUAGAACAUUGCUGGUCUCUUCAAUGGCAAUCGAUAUUCACUGGUGUUGUCAGGCAUUCAAUCAGAGGUGCGGCAGGCUUCUGACAUCAACGACGUUGCCAACAACGUCUAUCAGCACAAUUCGGCCACCGGUCCUACCGUUAUGUGAACUUGGAUCUCUGGCAAAAACUGAAAAUUUCUUUUUGGGUUAAGCACUACUGAUUUGUGGUGGUAAAUUCUUUUGGCGAGGAAACUGAAAUAUACUAUAAUGGCAGUAUCUCGACCGGCAUUGAGGAUUAAGGACUUUAACUGUGCCGCCACAUUUUGUAUGCAUGGUAUUCUAUGCACAAUUUGUUUGCUCAUAUACAAGGAAUGCUCACUACAUUAUGAGACAAAAGUUUAUUAUGGACUGGUAAGAGCUUACUGAUGAUUCAUCAUGUCAUCCUUAGAUACAAAGAUUAAGGUGUACACAAUUCAAACACUCAUGUUUGGCAUGUUCCACGCAACACACCUGCUCCAUGAAACAUCAUCAUUAGUCGGGGUAAGCACUCCAUCACACAUCCUCCGUAUUUUUUCAUAAUUUUUUGAGAUGCAUUUUAGUUUUCUCUUUAGUUGUUUUGUACUUACUGAAAUAAUGAAUUCAGUAGCAGAAAUUUCUUAUUUAUUUGUUGAAACAUGGGCAUGACUCAUGCAUUUUGUUAGGCUGAAGCACAGGAAGAAGCAGUGUGCAAUGACAUUUGUAUUUGCAGUGUGAAAAUCUCUUGCGUAUUCUUGGUCUUGUUUUUAUUGAGCUCAUAGUUGUGUAUUAUUUGUUUUCAUUACUUUGGAAGUGAUAUAUUUGGUAAUAACAAGUUCUUGUGUGGUGCUCCAUAUAUGCAUUCGGGAUUAUAAAUUAGAUUUUCCAGUAUCUUACAUCAGGGAUCAUCAAUGGGGAUGAAAAGGAGGUCGAAUGAUUUAUCCUGGGUAGUGAUAUGAGUUAUACCUUGAGAUAAGGGGGUGAAAGGUAUGAUGCAGUCUAUUGUGGUACCUAGAUGGAACUGUUGAACCGGUGAAAAAGUCAUAUUUCAGUAUCUCCUAGAUGGAACCGUUGAACCGGUGAAAAAGUCAUAUUUCAGUAUCUGCCCAACCUCUGCAUGUAAUACACCUACUUUGUUCUUCCUUUAUUUUGUUCUAAUGACUAACUUGACCAUCUCAAUUGUCAUUAUUCCCUUUAUAUAGUAGCACAUAUAAAUAGGUGUAUUUUACAUUACAUGGUAUGCUAAAAUCUGAAAUCGUAUUUAAGAGUUUACUCCCAUUUACUUGUGUUUUUUCAUACUAAUAGAAUUAAUGUCAAUUAGACAUCGUGUUUAUUCAAACUUAAUGGUUUUUCAUGGAAUAUGGAAUUUGAGUAUGAUAGCUAUUGAACUGAAAAUAAUCUAUCGAACAAUAAUAAAAUGAUGAGCAAGUUAUUGUAUCGCAAAAGUCCUAAGACUGAAUGAUAGGCUAAUACACUUGUGAAAUCAAAGUGCUUUGUUUGGAUACCAAGCAGGAAAAUAGUUCACAUAGUUUUGCCACUAUUUUAUUCCAUCUGUUAAUUUGCAACUAUUUUAUUAGAUAUAUGGAGUACUAAUUAAUUAGCCAUAACUAUAGUUUAUUAGUUAGCUCGUUCGUUUUUUUGCCUCCCAGGUUGGUUCGCUUCCUCUCCUCACCCCAUUAGGACAAUUACAGAAAGGAAAUAGGUGAAAGAAAAUGUUGGCGGUUUGAAAAGACUUACCAGAUCCACCCAUGAAAUCUCUCAAAAGACCUGAUGAAAGCUUCAGAAGUUAGCUACCAUCAGUUCCUACGGUUCAGCACUGCACAUAUAUUUUCUAGAUUUUACACAUCAGAAAAUGUCCCUUGUACUUGACUUCCAUAUUUUUUGCAGCUUCUUUCUUUGGCUUAUUUCAAGUAAGUUGGAAGUGUCUUUCAAUUUUCUUAUGUUCCUGAAGAUGCAGAUUCGAGAGGAACCACGAGGGGACCUAGAAAAGCUAGCUUAUUCUCAUUUGAGAAAAAUCUCAUUUCUGCCACAAUCUAGCAAUCCCACUAGAGGAGAACCAGCAUCACUUGACAAGUUCAUGUAACCCCAAAACGAAGGAUCGUCCUUGCUACCCCUUCAGGGAAGGAUUCUGAUGAAGCCUAGCUAUUGUUGGAGGUUCCUCACAAUGCAUGACACUAACAGGUAGAAUUAAUUUAGCCUAUUCAAUGGAAGUGUUUCAACAAAUGCAGGAGGAAGAUGCCGGGACUCCUACUCGCUAGAGAAGAACAAAAUUACUAAAGUACUACAUUUCUUUUCCAAGGCAUUCAUUCUUUUAAUAUGGUAAAAGCACGAGGCAUCUGAUAUCACAUAGCAAUAAAAAGGGAGAAUUACUAAUGAACACUUGACUGAAAAUUGCAUUCAAGUGACUUGGACUGCAGUUUGCCUUGAGAUAAAGAGAUUGGCCAUAUUGUAUAGAUAUUGACUGCAAUAUAGGAAAGUUUCAGGUUCAUAGAAGGGAGGGAGCAGCUGACCAGUGGAAGGUGGCCUGUGGGUUGAGGAGCUCGGUGGCGAAGAGAAGCCGUCGGCGUUGGGGUGCACCACAGGAUCCCCUCCUUAUCUAGCUACGUGCAUCCAGGUGUGCACGGCGUGGGGAAGGUAUCCAGGACACCGAGCUGGAUCCCUGAGCGCAUGGGACGGAGCCCACCACGCGCUGCAAGGUGCGUGCGAGUCGCCGGGCGUGGCCACGACCAGAAUCAGACAUGUGCGCCACCAGCGCGGCUGGGGGCGGGAUGAAGGAGUGGUACAACAAUGUAGGGGCGCUGCCUCUUGCUGGAAAGAAAGCCACCGCCCUUGCCCGUCGUUGUCGGCCUGCCGCGGCGAGACGAAGGGGAAAGAGUGAGCGGCCAGGGAGGUGUGAGAGCGUUGUGGUUGCUUUAGAUUUUUUUUCCUUAUUUUUUUGUCCUAUGGCUGUAAAAUUUCCUUAUCAUUUUUUUUGCUGGAGGCGCAUAGCAUGUGAACUAAGGUUUUUGAGCUUAAGUUGAUGAAAAGA